rnacentral:rRNA from 1 species
UACAGAGGUCUCGAGCGUUUUUCGGAUUCAUUGGGCGUAAAGGGCGCGUAGGCGGCGGGGUAAGUCUGGUGUGAAAUCUAGGAGCUCAACUCCUAAACUGCACUGGAUACUGCUCUGCUAGAGGACUGGAGAGGAGACUGGAAUUCACGGUGUAGCAGUGAAAUGCGUAGAUAUCGUGAGGAAGACCAGUGGCGAAGGCGGGUCUCUGGACAGUUCCUGACGCUGAGGCGCGAAGGCCAGGGGAGCAAACGGG